rnacentral:tRNA from 1 species
CGGAGCGUAGCGCAGCCUGGUAGCGCAUCUGCUUUGGGAGCAGAGGGUCGCGAGUUCGAAUCCCGCCGCCCGACCA